GAAGCGGAUCGCGUGGAGUGAAAGUCACCGCAGCGGAGAUGGACAAACCAUGUGGGUGCCCUCCAGGUGUGUGCGACCAUGAAAUGGGAGACUAGCAGGACCCACGUUGGCCAACCGUGGACCUGGUCCCUCCAGUAGGAGUCGUGAGCCAGCUGAAUUUGAAUGCAAAGAUGGAGCAAGGGCCGACUGGAGUCACACUGACAUCCACCCCCAUAACAUGGGGACAGAUCAAGAAAACAAAGCAGGAAGCUGAGAAAAUGCUGGAGCAUCCAUGUGCUUGGCCAUGUUAGCAGUAGUGUCCUGUGAGGAUUGAUUUCCAAAAACUCCUGUUACAUGAGGAAGACACCAAGAAGAGCAAAGAAAAGGAGCCAGGGUGGCUCUUCCUCAGGUGAAGUGGAUAUUUCUCGGUGGAUUAAUCUGUCUCUUUCCUUUCUGAAAUGCCAGGUAUUGUAGUAGUCAGUCUCCUGUGAGUCUGAAGCAUCCUGCCUCACACAUUUGCUUGCAUUCACUUAUGCCUUUU
rnacentral:lncRNA from 10 species